rnacentral:rRNA from 1 species
GUGAGUGGCGAACUGGUGAGUAACACGUGGGAAACCUGCCCAGAAGCGGGGGAUAACACCUGGAAACAGAUGCUAAUACCGCAUAACAACUUGGACCGCAUGGUCCGAGCUUGAAAGAUGGCUUCGGCUAUCACUUUUGGAUGGUCCCGCGGCGUAUUAGCUAGAUGGUGGGGUAACGGCUCACCAUGGCAAUGAUACGUAGCCGACCUGAGAGGGUAAUCGGCCACAUUGGGACUGAGACACGGCCCAAACUCCUACGGGAGGCAGCAGUAGGGAAUCUUCCACAAUGGACGAAAGUCUGAUGGAGCAACGCCGCGUGAGUGAAGAAGGGUUUCGGCUCGUAAAACUCUGUUGUUAAAGAAGAACAUAUCUGAGAGUAACUGUUCAGGUAUUGACGGUAUUUAACCAGAAAGCCACGGCUAACUACGUGCCAGCAGCCGCGGUAAUACGUAGGUGGCAAGCGUUGUCCGGAUUUAUUGGGCGUAAAGCGAGCGCAGGCGGUUUUUUAAGUCUGAUGUGAAAGCCUUCGGCUCAACCGAAGAAGUGCAUCGGAAACUGGGAAACUUGAGUGCAGAAGAGGACAGUGGAACUCCAUGUGUAGCGGUGAAAUGCGUAGAUAUAUGGAAGAACACCAGUGGCGAAGGCGGCUGUCUGGUCUGUAACUGACGCUGAGGCUCGAAAGUAUGGGUAGCAAACAGGAUUAGAUACCCUGGUAGUCCAUACCGUAAACGAUGAAUGCUAAGUGUUGGAGGGUUUCCGCCCUUCAGUGCUGCAGCUAACGCAUUAAGCAUUCCGCCUGGGGAGUACGGCCGCAAGGCUGAAACUCAAAGGAAUUGACGGGGGCCCGCACAAGCGGUGGAGCAUGUGGUUUAAUUCGAAGCUACGCGAAGAACCUUACCAGGUCUUGACAUACUAUGCAAAUCUAAGAGAUUAGACGUUCCCUUCGGGGACAUGGAUACAGGUGGUGCAUGGUUGUCGUCAGCUCGUGUCGUGAGAUGUUGGGUUAAGUCCCGCAACGAGCGCAACCCUUAUUAUCAGUUGCCAGCAUUAAGUUGGGCACUCUGGUGAGACUGCCGGUGACAAACCGGAGGAAGGUGGGGAUGACGUCAAAUCAUCAUGCCCCUUAUGACCUGGGCUACACACGUGCUACAAUGGAUGGUACAACGAGUUGCGAACUCGCGAGAGUAAGCUAAUCUCUUAAAGCCAUUCUCAGUUCGGAUUGUAGGCUGCAACUCGCCUACAUGAAGUCGGAAUCGCUAGUAAUCGCGGAUCAGCAUGCCGCGGUGAAUACGUUCCCGGGCCUUGUACACACCGCCCGUCACACCAUGAGAGUUUGUAACACCCAAAGUCGG